UGAAAGGGAAGCGAAUGGAGUUAGCAAUUCGUCUCGCCAGAUUCAGUCUUCCGGUCGCCGCGAUGCGACCGCUCUCGAUCUUCGUAGACGGGACGAACGCGGACGCGGCGCCUGGACGGCGCACUUCCGGCGGGCGAGCGUCGACGUCGGCCGUCGGCGGGCAAGAAUGUCGCGAGGAAGGUAGGACGCGCGUUUGCGGUGUCUGUUAAGCCUCGCGAUAGAACGGCUCGCCUGGCGACCGUGGCCGAAGUUUUGCGACGCGUGCCUUCUCCUCGGAGGGCUGGUGACCCGUUCAGGCGGUUCGGUUGUCGAUCGCGGCGGACGGCACGCCCUGUGCGCUCGAACCGCUGCCGGCCGAUCGGACGGUGUUCACACACCACGCGUCGAGGAUGUCGACGACCAUACGGCUCCAUCCGACCCGUCUUGAAACACGGACCAAGGAGUCUAACGUGUGCGCAAGUCUCCGGGUGAUCGAAACCUGCAGGCACAAUGAAAGUGAAGGUGGCCUCGUGUCGCCGAGGUGAGAGGUCGCAAAACUGCAUCAUCGACCGACCUAUUCUACUCCUAGAAAGGUUCGAGUAGGAGCGUACCUGUUG
rnacentral:rRNA from 1 species